GUUUCCAAAAAGUAAAAAAAAAAAAAAAAAGUUUAUGUUUGAUUUCAUAAAAUAUUGAAGAAAGAAAAAAAUUUUAUUUGAUUUUAUAAUAAAAAAAAUACGAAAUAUAAUUAAAUAUAAUUAAAAUUAGUUGAAAUUUUAAAUAUUUUAAAUUAUUUUAUAGUUAAAUUAGUUUGUAGUGACUAAUAAUAAUAAAUUUUUUAUUUUUACUGAUCCUUCCCUCAGGAGUUGGUUUUAUGGCAUUUUUAAAAAGUGCUUAUAUUUUAUAAGGUAUUUUUUUUUAGAAAAUUUAAGAGGUUUAGCAAAAUUUGAAAAGUUGCAAAAACCACUUUUAUUGUUUUUUUGACAAAUGAUUGAUAAAACAUUUUCCUUAAAAGGUAUUUAAAGGAAAAACAUUAUUUUAAUUUUUUAUAAAUUUUUAACAACAAAGAUAACGAAACAUUCUUCUUUCCAUAUAUAUCAUGAUACAACGUGUAAAAGUCAAUUACGUAGAUAGAAAAAUUAUAUUAUAUAUAUAAUGUUGGAAACUUUAUCUUCUGGUCUAUUGGAUACAAGCUCUUAAACACCAAUUUGGUGACUUUAAGAGAAAUUAAGGGCCCCAUUGAAUCAAAAUUGAGGCAAUUUGUGGAUUUGGUGCGUGAACACCAUACGACAUGAAAAUGUGAAGGAAGAAAUACGAGUGUGAGUGGGCCCAACGGGCCUGUUGUUGAGUGGAAUGGGCAGGGCCCAAUUCUCCUUAGUCAAAAGUGGGUCUGACAUUUGGAAUCAGCCUUUUGAUUUCCUAAAAAUCCUUUUCUUAUCAUCCUACAAAGCACAUUUAUGGUUUUAAAACUUUGAAAGUUCCUUUGAUGGAAGAUACUUUUAGUCAAAUUACCCAUAAGAAUAUUUUUUAGAAUUAUUUUUUUAUAAAUUAAUUAUAAAUAUUAUAUUUAUUAAAAUAGUUUUUUAAACACUAAAACAAGAUAAAAUUUUGAUUCAUUUAUGAUUUGAAAAAUAAUGGUAGCUAUAUUUCAUUAAAGUGUUGAUUUAUAUAUAUAUAAAUUUUAAAUUAGUAAAUUUUUUAUUUUUAAUAAAAAAUUAUUUUAAACAUGAAAUUAAUUACAUAAUAAACCUAAAAAUAAAAAUUAUCUCAACCCCAUCCUUAAAUUUUUAAAAACAUUUGUGUAUUACAAAAGUUGGGAAAAAUAGAUUAGAAAACUAAAAUAAAGAAAGACGGAUAAAAAAGUUAUUUUUUAUGUAAAGAAUAAGUUAAAGUACAAUAAUGCAGCUCUUAAACUUUAAAAUAAAUUAUUGAAUUGAGACACUUAGAAUAUAGUCACAUAUGUGAUAUUGUUAUAUUGAAUGUAAUAAAAUGUUUGAUUUAUUAUUAUUAAAUUUAUUAAAUUUUAAAUAAAAUAAUCAAAAUCGAAUUCAACUGAAACGAAAAUCGUUAAAUGUCAUAGAUUUUUAAUAACAUUAUAUUUGUUUUUGUUUACAUCACAAUAUUUUAGAAGACUUGACUUACUAUUUAUUUAUUUAUUUUUGAAAAAUAAAUAUUUUUUAUGGAAUGGGAAAUGUUGAAUGAAAGAUAUGAAAUGUUGGAUGGUGGGUGAUGAGUCAAAAAAUGGGGAGGAGAGAGGAAAGCUUCACUUUAGAGAUUGGAUCACAAAUGUUGGGGAAAUGGAAGUUUAGGGGUAAUGGGGUGGAGGGUGAGGUGUUGGUUGGUGCUCUGACUCUAGACCCCAAAUGCCUAGAGGUGAAGUGACUCAAACCUCCAUACUCCAUACAUAAAUGUGAGGUAACCCUCUUUUCUUAAAUCUUUCCUUCAUUUCAUUAUUACCUCCUCUCCCAUCCUAAGUAUCCUUAGGGGCCUAUUCAUUCAACACCCACUCAUAUUUACUUUGAAAAAUACCCCAUUUGUGGGAUUUUGUCCUUUUUUUCCCCCUUUAAAUGUUAUGUUAGGUACAAGACCAACAUAAAAUCUACUUCCCAAAGGGAAUGAUCAAAUUUGGACCAUUCAAUGGAAGCAUGAAAAAAAAGAAAUACAAAAACAAAUAAAUAAGAUUAAAAAAAAUAAAGUUGAAUAAAAAAAUUAGCGAGCGACCCUUUGGAUUGGAAUUUCCGACUUUCUGAUAUUAAAAAAUUAAUUUCUUAGUGACAUAGAAAUAUAUAUUUUUGAUAAAAUUUCAUAAAAUAUAGAAAUUUUGAAAAAUAACCCCUCUAAAAUUUCAAAUAUUUAGAGAAACUCAAUUAAAAUAUUAUACUCUAUGUUACUCCUUGUUGAAUAGAGGGCAACAAUGUUUAAUCCCAUUUGAAGGGUCAUCACCAAGAAAAAGAAAGACAUGCCAACAAAAGACCUCUUAUUUAAAUUAUUUCUUUUAUGAUUUUUUUUUCUUAAAAGAAGUAUAAUUAUCAAACAGACUUUAAAUUUUUUAUGAGUUACAAAUUAUUUCUACAAAACCGAGUUAAUCUAUUUAGAAUAUUGAAAAAAAAAAAAAACACUUUAUCUUUGUAAAAUCAAAUCCAAACCUAAACAUAUGGUAUAGGAUAAGCUAGUAAUUGAAUAUGGUUGUGGUUUUGUUUGCAUGCAUUUGGAUUUGUCCCACGAUUCCCAAAUGGUGGCCUUUAAAGGGUUUUAUUUUAUCUUACUUUUUAUAAUUUAUUUUUGGUUAUGGAUAUUUUGCAAGUAAUUAAGAAUUUAAGAGAUAGUGAGUGUGACCCACAAAUUCAAAUGGAGACAAAAUGAAAUGUGGUUGUCCACCACAUGUACUUGAACCAUAGGGGUUCAUCCAUUUGUGUGGCUCAUAUCAUGAACAUUGACCCCAAAGCAAAUCUUCCAUUCUUUUACUUAUUCCUUGUCACACUAUUUCUCUCCUUUGGGAAUGUUUAUCAUUUUGUCACCUUCUUAUAUAAAUAUUUCCCUUAUGUAGGAUUGUGAAUAGGUGUCAUCUUUUAAGCUAAUUUUGUACUUGAAAAUGUAUUUUUUUUAUAUUUAAAAUAAGAUAAUUUUGACCUAAAUUCAAAAUUGCUUUCUUUUUCAUUGAAGAAAAAAAAAAGUAGUAGGAGUUCAAUUUAAUGUUAUUAAUAUAUAUAUUUUUAAAAAAAUUUAAAGAUAAUUUUUUAGUAUUUAGGAGAAAUAAUAUAUUUUAGCCUUGGAGUCUUCUUUGUUUUUCAUUUAAGUUUAAAAUCAACUUUUAAUUUAUUACUCUAUUAAAAUAAUUUUUGACUGAAUAAAAAGGAUUAAUUCGUGUACUUUUAUUAAAAAAAAAGUGCUUAUUUGGUUGCCCUUUCUGUUUUUUGUUUUUAAAUAUGGAAAAUAAUAAUAAUUUUAUUUAUUAUUAUUUUUAUAUAUAAAAAAAGAUGAAUUUGUCUUAUGUUGGUAAACUAGGGUAGAUUUUUUUUUUAAAUACCUUGAAUUUUUAAAUAAAUUUUUUAAAUCAUUAUUUUUUAAGCUAAGUUUCAAAAAAUUCUUUAGUUUCAUAUAAAAAUUACUAUCAUUUUCUUUUUUUUCUUUUUUUUUAAACCACACACAAAUUUUUCUUUUUUCUUUUUUAAGUUGUUCAAUACUCCUCCCAAAUUUUUGGCAUCCACUACCCGAAAUCUCCAAUCAAUAAUUUUUUUUUUUUUGCUUUUUUAUUAUUAUAAUGAAUAUUAUAUUAUAUAAUAAUUUUCUAAUAUCAUUUCAAGGUUAAUAAAAAUGAAGUUAUUCUUAGACUUUUGUUUUGCAGUGUUUUUGAAAAACAUUUUUAUUCUAAAAAAUAUUUUUGAAGGAAAAUGAGGUAUUUAACAUAAUUUAAGAAAUGCUUUUAAAAUUUUCAAAAAUCAUUCCUAGUGUUUUAUGGAGAAAUAUUUGAUAGGUGAUUUUCCUAAAAACUGUUAAGAGAAAACACUUUCACUAAAAACACUUUGAGUAAAAUCAUUACCAAAAACACUUUUAUGUUUUUAGCUCUCCAUUGAUGGCUUAAUAUUGGGCUUUGGAAGCAAUUAGUUAUCGUGUUUACAAGAAUAAAGAGUAUUGACUUGGGCCUAAAACUCAUAUUGGGCCUAAAAAUUUGACUGACGUCAUUCAGCUCAAGCCCAAGCAAGCUGUCUGGAUUUAUUUUGGGCCCAGCCACUGUUUAUCAGGAAUAAAAAGAAUGCAUGACUUGGGCCCAGGCCCUCCAAGUUAAAUCCAAUAAGGUGAAAGUGGAUAGCGUCUAUACGUCUAUAUAGAAUAAUCAAAUUUCGGAUAAGAAUAUAGAAAAAUAAAAAUAAAAAAUUCAAAAGCCAUGCGUAAAUCAAGUAAAUAAGGCUAAAAGCACUUUUGCUCUGUUUUCUCUUCCCAGUCUGCUUCUCCAAGCUGAAAGAUGAAGCUGUCAGCACCAGAAAUUUCCACAUUCACAGUGAUUUUCGUAGUGUUUAUGGCAGUCUCAGCACUUUCAACUGAACCCAAGUGUGAAUUCAAGGCUAUCUUUAACUUCGGCGACUCAAACUCCGACACCGGCGGCUUCUGGGCAGCUUUUCCGGCACCGUCUCCACCCAAUGGCAUGACCUUCUUCAAGAAGCCCUCUGGACGGGCUUGUGAUGGGAGGCUCAUUCUUGAUUUCUUAGGUAAUUUUCAAGACACCAAGUCCAAAGUAGUUGGACAAUUUGAACUCUUUUAGUCAUAUGACCCAGAAUCCGUUUCUGCUUCUUUUUCCUGCAUUUUUCUUGCUAACCAAACGGAGGAUAAUGGGUUUGUCAGAGGAGAAGAACGUGGGUGUCUCUGUUUUUUGUCCUGAAGAACGUGUAAUGUAAUUUGACACACAUUGCAUGGUUCUGUAAACUAGAACUGGGAUUAGGGGGUGUUUGGUAGGUGGGAAUGAAUGCAGAUCCAAUGACUCUGUUUUCCUUGACUUUUUCACCUCUGUUUAGGAAAGUUCUGGCCCACUUCAACGGGGAGAUGGGCGGUUUCAGCCUGUUAUACUUCCCAAUCCCAACAAAAAGACACAAGGCCUAGCUGGAAAAAGCGAGGCUGUCAAUUAUUCUCAAUGAGGAGGAUACAUCAAUUAUUUGUAGAUUUUUGUCUGAAGUUCAUGAGGUACGCUUGAUAUGAUUUUGAAUUAUUGGCUCCUUCAACCCCACAGUUCGGCUUCACUGUCUUCUAGCUUUUUAGUUCACUGAGAGAAAAAUAGAUUCUCAGGGAAGGAGAAUUAAGGUUGCGUUUGGGAAUGAUUUAUUAAGGGCUAGAAACGCUUUAUCGUGUUUAAAAAUGCUUUGGGACGCUUAGAAAUUUCAGAAAAGUUGGACUUGCAUUUUAUAAUGUUUAAUGACAUUUUCUCACGCUUAGAAACAAUUUUUUAAGAUAUUUAAAUGUUUGGAAAAACUUGACUUUCAUGUUUAAGUUAUCAAAAAGUCAUCAUUAAUCUGAUAUCAUAUGUAUAUUUUUUUUAAUAUCGUUAUUUGUACCAAUCUUAUUUACUUGUAUUAUUAUACUUAUGUUCCACUCGUUGGUACUAUCAUUAAAUGACUUGAAUCUUAUCACACGUCCACCAAUUUAGAUUUCUUAUUUUAUAAGUGACUAAGUGCUACCAUAAUAUCAUAUUAUUUUCCUAAUGUUUAAGAAUAUAUUCGACCAUUAAAAAAAGCCCUUUUACAUUGUUUGAAAAAACUUGGACUUGAUUUAUCAUUUUUUUUUCACUCAUUUUUCUACUAGCACUCAAGACAAAAGAUAUUUUGAAGAAAAAUGUUAACAAUAGUAGAGUUCAUUUGAAAAUGAUUUUGAUUAAAAUAUUUUUAUUUGUAAUAUUUUUGUUAAAAACAUUAUCAUUAAAAAUGCUUUAAUAAAAAAUAUUAAAUAAUUAGAUAUAAACUAUAAAAAAGUAUUUUGAUUGUGUUUUUAGUAAUAUAUAUAUAAAAUGAUUUUUGGAAAAAUUACGAUCAAUUAAUUACUUAACAAUCAUUUUAAAUAUUUUAAAAAUUUUAGCAAAUACCUAAGUUUUUAAGGGAAGCACUUUUUAACCCCAUUCAAAAUCAUUUCCAUACUUAUGAACAACUUGUUCUAAUAUAUUCCUUCAAAUCUUUUGAAUGAAGUAAGACAAAUUUAUACAUGGAUUUUCAAAAUAAGAGUGGAUUUCAAAGUGCUUUUAGUUGAUUUUUAUUUUUUAAGAUAUUUUUUUGGGAAAUCACCUAUCAAGUGCUUUUCAAUUUUUCAAAAUUACUUUCUAAAUUUUGCUAAAGGUUUAAUUUUGUUUAAAAACGUUUUUUAGGCUAAAAAUAUUGUAAAACGGAGUCUAAAUGUGUUAAGGUUUAGGAAAAUUCGAUUAGGGAAUUGGGUAAUUUGAAUGAAAUCAUGAUUCAUUCGGAUUUCAUAAUCGCAUGCUUCCGAUCUUGGGAAUAUUGGUAGCCUUCAAAAAGCCAAAACUGCAGAGCCAAGUUAAUUGAAAUAAUCCCUCCUUUUUAUUUUUUUCUCUGGCAGCUCAAGCUCUAGGGCUGCCAUUUAUAAGCCCAUAUCUGCAGUCAAUUGGGUCUGAUUAUAGACAUGGAGCCAACUAUGCAACAUUGGCAUCCACUGUGCUCCUGCCAAACACUUCCUUAUUUGUCACUGGCAUCAGCCCAUUUUCCCUGGCCAUUCAGCUCAACCAAAUGAAGCAAUUCAAGGUUCUAGUUGAUGAACAUCACUUCUCAGGUACCAUCUUUACAUCAUUGCAUAAUUCCCACGUCUCGAUUCGAUCUUUUUCUUCAGAAUUUGAUCCUUUUAAUGGACUUAAACAUGUCCCUAAAUGUUUAGUACUCUUAGUUCAGGAUGAUAAACUUUGCCUUGAUGUUUCUGAAGUUUAGCUAUUGUUUCUAGGAUCAAGUUAUCUUCCUCAACCUGACAUUUUCGCGAAAUCCCUCUACACGUUCUAUAUUGGUCAGAAUGAUUUCACUUCCAACUUGGCUGCCAUUGGCAUAGAUGGAGUCAAGCAGUAUCUUCCUCAAGUCAUCUCCCAAAUUGCAGGCACCAUCAAGGUGAGUCUUUCAAGUCUAGUCUUUGAUCCAUUUGCAGCCUUGAACUAGCCUACUUAGCUGAAUGAGCUUGAACUUGAAGGAGCUAUACGAGCUAGGCGGCCACACGUUUCUGGUUCUUAAUCUUGCACCGGUAGGUUGUUAUCCAGCACUUCUGGCGCAGCUGAAACACAACAGUUCAGACAUCGAUGAAUUCGGGUGUCUAGUCUCUUACAACAGGGCAGUGGUGGACUAUAACAAUAUGCUGAAGGAGGCACUGAGCCAAACCAGAAAGCUUCUCCCAGAUGCCUCUGUCAUAUAUGUGAACACUCAUGAUGUGCUGCUAAAGCUCUUCCAACACCCCACACUUCAUGGUAUUGCAUGUAGCAUGAAAAACUGUUACUUUGUCAGGUUUUUGGAUCUUUGCCAUUGUUGAUUUUUUUCUGGCUUGAUUUGGGACAGGUCUCAAGUAUAGCACCAAAGCAUGCUGUGGACAUGGGGGUGGUGCCUACAACUUUGACCCGAAAAUUUUCUGUGGAAGGAAACAGGUGGUGAAUGGUAGGAAUGUCACAGCAGAAGCUUGUAGUGAUCCUCAGAGCUAUGUGAGCUGGGAUGGGGUGCAUUCAACAGAAGCUGCAAAUAAGAUUGUGACAGAGGCCAUUCUCAAGGGCAAUUAUUUUGAUCCUCCUUUCCCAAUCAGUAAGCUCUGUGACCUUCAACCUAUAGGUUGAUUUCUUAAUGGAGACUCAUUAUGGUGGGGAUUAUUACUCUUAGAUACAUUAUUCAGAUAACUAGAAUUCCAAUAACUAUAAGGGAGACUCUCAUCAGAGGUAAUAAAUUAGACCUUCUUGUCAUGAAUCUAGAACAAAUUUUUCUUUGAUUAAUCUAAUGUGUUGGAAUACAAAAGUAUCUGCAUUUUUGUGUAAAGAUGGUGAAAAGAAAACUGAAGGAGAAUUCAAGGAACAUAUGCAUUCUCAAGAACAGGCGGUGUUCUGAUCAUUGUUGCAGAAGGGAUUUUGCUUCUCCCUAUCCAGAUUGUGUUGAGAGCUUCGCUGUUUUCUGAUUUUCUCUCCAUUUCUUCCAGUUUCUUCUUCUUCACUACCUUAACAACAGCCAGCACAGCCACAGCCGCUAUAAUCAGUCCUGCAAAACCGCCUCCGAAUCCAACUGCCCACCACUUCCACCACCUCUGUUUCUUCACUGGUGAAGCUGGAACAACAACAGAAAAAUGGCCUUGGCCUUGUGCAAAACACACAUUUGGGGUAGUCAUGUUACUGAAUUGAACCGAUCCAUCAUCUCCAAAUGUGACACAUUUGGUCUUAUUUUCAUCUUUUGGUACUAAAAUGCUGGGAAAAUGAAUUGAAAUGGGGUCCCCCGAGAUGCUGAAAUUGAUCUUGAGAUUGCCUAAGGCGCUCAGAUUUGUGGCAUCAUAGGCCAUGAAGCCAACAACAGGGGAAACAAGCGAAAAACCGGGUACUUUGUAGUAAUCAGAAGACCAGUUCCCCAAGUUUUCAUAGACUAUGGCCAGCCUUUUCACAUAAGGCAUUGGCAGAGUCCUUCGAGGGAUAUGAAAGGAGCUGAAAUUCACUCCUCUUUGCCAUAAACUCCCACUUCUAAGACGAACAACAGAGACUUCCAUGGUGGAAAAAUUUGCAGGGAGGUGAACUCUGUACAGUCUGCCUGUAUAAGGCCUUACCAGAGCCUUCCAAGCUUGAUGAUGAACAAAAACAUCUAAGGACUCAGGGUCAUAGCCAUUCAGACCUUCCACAAACGACAAUGCUGAUAAACAAAACAUCACCCAGAUGCUGCAACCCCAUCUCCUUCUAGACCCCAUCACCAUAAUUAGCCAGAAAAUUCUUCACAGUUUCAUGCCAAUUCCUUGAACUGAACUGGCCUAUAAUCAUCAAAAACCCUGCAACCCCUCAACCCCACAUCCAUACUCAAGACCCCCAUGAAACAACACGAGGACUUGAAGUGAAAUCCCCCAAAAUUAUCUGGGAAUUUUCUAGGGAACCUGAGGGAAUUGGUGGGUGAUGAUGGGGAUUAGAAAUUGGGUGGUGAAAUGGUUGUCUUUGUUGUUGUUGGAUUGUAUGGGGGGAGAAGGCCAUUUAGACCGGCACCCAGAAAAGAUUGGUUCCUUUUUGAGUUGUUUUUUGGGGUUUGGUCUCUGAUUUUCUUUCGUGACAACUCAUUCUUCAAGUCCUUUCUCUUGGAGUAGUUUCUUCAUUUUCCUUUAUUCUCCUAACUCAGUUUCGGGGCCCCUUUUCCAACUUGCUGGACGGGUUUGUUUCUUCAUUCUUUUUUCUUUUGAUAUUUGUUGGGUUAGUUGAAAUCUUAUGAUACAAGACGGUGCUGCCAACUAUGUCAUUGGGUGGAAUAAGCCCACAAGAGAGGACAAGGUUGUGCCCUUCCAAGAAUAAUAUCAUUAUUCUAUGGUUAUGCUUGGCCACUCCCCUUCCUUAACUUAUUCAUACCGAUAUUUCUCAAAGGCAAUAAGUUAGAAUUAUUUUUAAAGGAUAAUAUUGGUAUUAUAAAUUUUUUAUUAAUUACCUUAUAUAUAAAUUAAAAUAAAUUUUUUAUGUGAAAUAAUUUUUUCCUCUUUUUUAAGUUAUGUAUUCUUUAAAUAAAGUUAGAGUGCAAUUCACCGUAAUUCUAAAAAGCGGUUUCAAAUACCUAAUUUUCGUAGGAAUUGUGAGAGGGGUAUUAUUGUCUUUUUACUAAAAUGUGUUCGUCAAAAUAAAUUUUUGUUUUAUGACCUAGACCUACUAAUUAUGAAAUUAAUAAUUCAAUUAAUUUUCUUUAAUGAGUGUAUUAAUUGCGAGUUUAGCAGAUAGGAAGUAGGUGAUUGUCUGGCCGGCACCAAUCUCUGGAUGACACGUGGAGGAUCGAUCUUAUGGUGCUGGGUCAAUAUAGAAGGAAUCAUAUGGGCUGUAAUGUAGCUCAUUUCGGCCCGAUGGUGACUUGGUGAGAAGGAAGGGGUGGGUCCAGUUGGGAACCCAAACUUUGCCACAUGGGCUGAAAAUUUCAGAUGUGAGCCCAUUCUUGUUAAGAAGUCCAUAACCCAAAACAAUCCCACUUGCGGUCCUUAUUCAUUCUUGUUUACAAAGCCAUUAAAUUAAAGUUAUAAAGCUUGAGAAAUUUAUUAAAAAAAAAAAAUUAUUAAAGACAUGUUUCAAAAUUAUAGUAGAAUCAUAAUUAUUUUAUGAAUUUAAAAAUAAUAAAAUAAUUAUAAAAGAUAAUAAUUAUUUUACUUUUCCCCGACCAUAGGUCAAAAACAUUGACGUUCAUCUGGUUUAAGAGUAGUAUGGUUGUACUCGAAUAAUCUCUCCAAUAUGACACUCUCGUGGUUCAAAUCUAAGACCUUAUCUUCGAUAGACUAUUUUAUCUGAAAAUCAAUUGAUGUUUAUUAGUGAUAGAUCAUUUGAUUACUAUCAUUUAGGUAACUUGUUCACUAAACUUAAAAGUAGCAUUGUUGUAGCCUACCAAAAUUAGCUUGUUUGAGCCUAUAUUUUUAUAGGUUGGGUUUAGAUAUUUGAAUUCAGAUUGGGUUUGGAAAACAUAACAUGGUGUUGUGUAUGGAGUGUGACCAAGGGAGGAGGAUUUGGAGAUAGGCCAAUCAACCAAUGAAAAUACUCCAUUUCUCCACGUGUCACUCUACAGGCUCAAAAGGAAAAAUCUAGGUAUGAAAGGACUGAAGACCAAACGAAUGGACUCGAAGAAGAUAUAGCAAAGCAAACAACACUACGCUGCCAAGAGUUGAUUGAUUCCUAAUCCAUGGCAAUGCCUUACGUUGCUGUAGCUUCCUCUUCCAUGGCGGCCACGCCGGUCCUAAUGCCUCGCCUCCCGGCCACUGCCGCCGCCAACGCCGCCACCCGCUGUUCCGCCUUGCCUUAUCUCCCACCUCGUUUGUCAUCCUCUUCCAACCACUUUUCAGGUACACUGUUUCAACUCAAUCAGGCGCUAAUCUUAAUUAUAUGGGAUGCGUUACUCAGCUCCAUAUACAGUGUGGGUGGUGUACAAAAUGCUGCGUUUUUAUCAGGGUGUGUCGUUUUAUUCUCUGUAUGCAUUUUUUUUUCCCCUGAUUGGGGGAUUUUGUCGAGCAAGUGGUGGAAAUAUCCUUGCUAAGUGUUUUCUAAAGGGGCAGAGUUUUUUUCUUUCCUUUUUUCUUUGUUUUUAAAGAAAUUUAGUUUGAUUUUUGAGUUGGGUGGAUUCCAUUUGAGGGGUGAUAAUUUGAUCUUUCUGGGUCCUGCAUUUUCUCGGGAACCAAACAGGGAAAAUAACUAUGAGGUAUAUUUCUUUAUAUGUAUCCUGAUGGAAGAAUUGUUAAUUGGGAAAAGAUAAUUUAGAAUGAAUAUGAUGGAAUGCAUGAAAAAAGGUACAGGAAAUUGAGAAAAAAAUUAUAGCAAUAAUGGAAUUUAGAUCCUUCACUGCAAGGGGUGUUGCUGAGGAAGUAUUCAUUUCUAAAUGCCUUAUAUUUGAAACUUUAGAACUCUCAUAGCAUUUUUUCAGUGGGGUUCAUGUGGUCAUUACUAAAAACCAUCAAAGGAGUCCAGCCCCAACAUGUUUUUAUGUUGAAUUCACCUUUCCAUAUAUUCUUAAAGAUCAACUCUACACUCCUUUUGUGCCACUGAUGGGAUAUCCAGAAAUUGGAUGAGCGGCAAAUGGCAAUCAUCUGAAAAGCAGUAUAUCCCCUCCCAUCUCUUGUGCUCCUUUUUCAGGUUCUUUGCAUAGAUUUGGGCCUUGGACCGGCUUGGUCAUGUGGACUUGUGUAAUGAAACUCGGUGGGUUGAAGUGGAUGGUAAUGGGAGUGAUGGUGUCUAUGUGCAAAAUGUAAAUAUGCCUUUGAUGAGAAUUAGGCUCACUGGUACAGGCUGCUGUGCACUGUGUGGCGCUGAGUAAUGAUGAUGAAGGAUGAUAAAAUGCAACAUUCAAUGUGUAGCUGGAACUAGAAUUGGCUUGUAAACUGGAGAUGAGAACAGUAUAUGAUAGUCAUCAUCUCCCCUGAUGAAAUAAAAGAGAAAAUCUAUAUGAGCACAAAGGUCCCAUGUUGCUUAUUGAGCAUAUAUCCCUUUCUGGAGCAGCAAACAAGCAAACUUUGAGAAUUAUACAGAAAAGGAAAAUUUGGGCACAAUCCCAGAAGUUAUAUUUUCCCUUUGCCCGUCAUUUCAUGAAAAAACCAAAUUGUUUAGUCUAAAAGGCCCUUUGGAAAAAGAAAUUAGGGUAAGAGUUGCACUUGUCCAUAAAACAUUGCCCUGUAGUUUGCAAUGAACCAGCAAGUUUCUCUAAGCGAGUAACCUUGUCCUUUCACAUGAAUGUUAUAAUCAACCUUCUUUCAUGAUCUAUUUGAUAACUAUACAUCUAUCUUUUUGUUUUUGUUUGGAAUAGGGUCUCGCAGGUUCUCUUCGCUCCAGGUUAGAGCCUCUUCUUCAGAAGAAACAUCUUUAAAUACUGAAGAGCUAUUCACUGACUUGAAGGCGAAGGUGAGAGCAUCAAACCUGGCACUGUUGUGAGGCAAAUCGCCUUUUUUUUGGCCUCUCAAUUUCUAAGCGACUAGUUCUAGAUUAAGCCUUUUGUUACUAAUAGAGCUUCUUUCCAUCAAGUAAAAUCGUCAUUUAGCUCAAAGAAUUUCCUUCUGUUAUCAACAGUGGGAUGCGCUUGAGAACAAAUCCACUGUAUUUCUCUAUGGAGGCGGUGCAAUAGUUGCAGUUUGGCUGUCCUCAGUUGUUGUUGGUGCCGUCAACUCCGUUCCAUUGGUGGGUGGUUUGAUUAAGGAAAAAAUCCAAGCUUCCCUUUCUUCAAUUUGACUAAAUAAAAAACGAUGAAUGUUGACUCCUUGAUUAACCUAGCAGGAUAGGUUUUCUUUGGCAACAUAUGAUAUUGUUUUCUUUUGAUAUUCCCCUGAACCAAUCUGAAGUAUUCCUCUCCCUUUAUCCUUUUCCUGAAUAUUACCAGCUUCCGAAGAUCAUGGAGUUGGUAGGACUUGGAUAUACAGCAUGGUUCGUGUACCGAUACAUUCUCUUCAAGGUAAAAACUAAAACAUUGGCAUGCUUCAGAUCGAAUUUACUUUCUCUACCAAAUAUUUUCCAGGUGAUCUGAUAAUAGGAGAGAUGUAAUGGCCUAAUGAAGACUGUAAUCAAAGGAGUUUGAACUAACACUGAUUAGAGAUCAUAAGAGCCGAUUAAAAUAUAUCUGAACCUGAGAUUAUCAUGAUAUCAAUCUUGAUUUUGGUUGAACUAAAAAACCUUUUUGAGUCUUCUCCAAAGUAUACUUCUACUUGCAAAUUAUACUUUGUUGGCUAACAUGUUCACACUUGGUGGGGUUUUUGUUGUCACUUUUCAGUCAAACAGAAAAGAGCUGGCCACGGACAUUGAAGCACUGAAGAAGAAGGUGACGGGAGCUGAAUAGAUCAAUAUGAUCAAAUGCUGAGUUUAUCCUUACAUUUAGUCUCAACCCAUUGGUUUAAAUUGGUUCUUUUCUGUAUCUUAUGUAAAAGGGCCAUCCAAGCUCUCCUCUCCUCUGCAAUGUAGACUAGUUUUGCUGCUUUUGCAUGCUUUCUUGUCACUCCUGGAUCUCCCCGGGCUCAUCCUUGCAAUAAAAUUUGCCAAUUUUCUUGUUUGCUUUUGUGAUUGUUAUCGAUGAGAAAGUGUUCGAUGCCUCAUCACCUCUGUUUUAUCGCAGUCGAUGGUUGAUCCGGUACAAUUUUUCGUUUGUUACCCUUAUGAUAUCGUGUAUAUAAAAGCAUACUUUUCUCUAUAAUUUUUUGUCACCUUUGCAUGACGUGUCAUGUCAAGGAUUUUUUUUUUUUACAAGAGUACGACAAUUUUAAAAAAUAAUUCAUAAAUUAUCGUAGUAGGAAAAAUAAUUAUAAUUUUGUCGAGAUAGGGAAGAGAGAAUAAUUUAGAAGUGAAAAAUCGACGAUUUAUGAACUUUUAAAAAAAUUAUAAAAAAAUUGUUUUUUGAAGACACGAUUUUUAAAAUUUCAUUUUUUAUAUGAGAAAUCGUCUUUUUAAAAGACAAUUUUCAUAAAAAAUAAAAUAAAUUAAGAAGUGAGAAAUCAUCUCUUGAAGAGACGAUUUCAAAAAAAAAAAAGUUGAGUGAAAAAUCGUCUUUUAAAGAGAUGAUUUUCACAAAUAUAUAUAUAUAUAUAUAUAUAAAAUUCUUACUUUAAACAAAAAAACCAAGAAGGAAAUCGUAUUUCAAAAGAGACAAUUUUCUACAUCACAAAAGUGAGAAAUUCUUACUUAAAAUAAAAUAAUAAUAAAAAAAAAGAAAAAAAUCCAAGUGGGAAAUCAUCAAAUUAUAAGUGAAAAAUAAUUCCUCACUUGGGUUUUAUUUAUUUAUUUAUUUUUAUUUUUAUUUUAUUUUAAGUGAGAAUUUCUCACUUUUGUAGUGUGGAAAUCGUUUCUUGAACUUGAUUUUUUUUUUUUGUGAAAAUCGUUUCUUCAAGAGAUGAUUUCUCAUUUUUUAAUUUUUGAAAUAAUCCUUUUAAGAACGAUUUCUCAUAUAAGAAAAAUGAAAUUUUAGAAAUCGUGUCUUGAAAAUAUGAUUUUUUAUAAUUUUUUCAAAAGUUCAUAAAUCGUUUUUUAAAGAUAUGUUUUUUCAUUUACAAUUUCUUUUCUCUUUUUUAUAUGGAUAAAACUAAAAUAUAUUUGAAAUUAUUUUUCUUAUUGCGAUAAUUUAAAAAUUAUUUUUUAAAAUUAUUGUACUCUUAUAAAAAAUCCAUACCAUCAACAUGGUAAAAUUUGAAAGUAGUAGAAGUUUUAUUCCAAAAUAAAAUUUAUAUAAAAAUGAAUUGAUAUUAAAUUAUAAUUAAAUAUAUUUAAGUUUUAAGUUUAAAUAAAAAUAUAUGCCAAGGCCCACUCGAAUAGAGCUCUUUCUUAUGCUCUAUGUAUCAAGAUGAUUCAAAUUUAAAAAUUUUACUAAUUUUAUUUUAAUUAUUGUAAUUUUUCAAAAAUGCUUUUUAGUCAAUUAUUUAGAAAUAAUUAUCAUAAAAUGAUUUUUAGAGUAAGGAAUAAGGAUUAUUUUUACUGUGGCUGAAAAUAUAUAUAUAAAUAUGAAAAAGUGAAAAUAGGGGGAGAGGGAAACCCUAGACUGUUGUUCAGCUGCUGUCACUACUCCGGUAACUCUCGAUUUUCUUCUCUUUGCAGUAGAUUGUUUGGUUGCCGAGAAAAUGAGGAAAAGUGAAAAAGAAGCGGGAUUCUUAUUCUUAUUCUUCGUUUUCUGAAUUAUACCCCAAUGAGGGGUUUUAUCCCAUGUUAAAAAACGUCUGUUUCUCAGCAACCAAGCAGAUUCUUACUAGUUUGAUUUUUGUCUUUCGGAUUUACCCAGUCAAGGGUUUCGGUUUUCUUCGUUCCCAAGUAAUGCGAAAAUUCAGAUUCAAAACUUUUCUCUUCCAAUUUCUCGAAUUUCUCAGCAGCCAAACAAGAACGUUGCUUGUUUUGAUUUUCUUUUCUGAAUUCCUCAACGCUACCCAGCAAGGGUAUUUUUUUUCGCCGUUCCGAAGUAUUGCAAAACCCCAUAAUCAUUCCUGCAGUCUCUUUAAUUUUUCCGCACUUCCUCAGCAGCCAAAGCAGACUGUUAAGAUUUUGAUUUUUUUUUUCAUUUUUUUCAGUAAUUGCACACUUUAAGAGGCAAGAUAGUGGUGUAAAAGAUGAUCCGAAUCAGUGGCAUUGCGAAAUCGAAAUCUUGCUUAUCCCAUCAAUUCAUACAAAAAUGCUUUGUAAGUCGAACUGCAAAAGGUAAAGGCAAAAUGAAAGAUGGGCAGCCGUUGAAGCGAUCGAAAAUAACAAAGAAGAAAGGCCCUGUUGAUGCUGCUGCGGCUGACCGAGGUCCCAGGAAUGAAGCCAAGGUGAAAAUGGAGCAACUGGAGAAUGCUUGCCUGACUGCUCCAACGCCAAUCCGAUAUCUGACUCCGAAACAGAAGAAGAGGGAGGAGGAGAGAGAGAAAAUGGGACUUACUAGCAAUGCAAGAAGAGUGGAGCUCGAGAUGUUGAAGAAAAAUAAGUCCAAGAAAAGUGAACUCGACUCCCCGAUGAUAAUUGGGACUCCGGGUUUGGAUUUGAUAUCCCUAGGGCUGGUAGAUGCAGAGAGUAUUCCUAAAUAUGAAUUGACUGUUGAAGAUGGUCGUCGGCUAGCUAAAGAGUACAGUAGGGUUUUAAUGAGGCGGCACCGGGCUAGGCAGGCAGCAGAGAGUACAAUAUUGAGGUUGAAGAAGGAAGCCAUCGAGGCAUUGCCCGAGAAUCUGAAGGCUGCAGCAUUGGUACCAGAUUUGACUCCAUUUCCAGCAAACAGGUUUAUGGCUACUUUGACACCUCCAAUUGAAGGGUACAUCGAGAAGGUUAUGGAGGCCGCAAAGAGAAGCAUUACCAAGGAGAAGCUCAGAUGAUCAGAGGUUAGUGUUCAUUUUCCUUAUUGUUUUUUACUUCCUGCAUUGAUAUUUUGAGUUUUUUGAGCGAUUAAUUGGUUUUCCGAUGUUGUAUGGAUGAUUAAGAGCUUUGUCUCCAAUGGAGAAACUCACAUUGAAUCUAAUUGCUCACUGGACAGUGGACACCACUGAUCCUAAAAAGACACCACUUAUUUUAACACUCAAAAUGAUAUUUAUGCAAAAAAUUUAUGCUGUGGUUCCCUCAUGCUGGUCUAAUAAAAGUUUUCAAAAUUUGAUGUUAUGCUCCAUAUGGGUUUUAAGAAUAAUGGAGGAAGAAACAAAACUUUUUCUCUUAUCAAAAGCACCCCAUUUCAAAUGUCAAACGUAUUCUAAUGAACAAAAAAUUGUUUUAAAAAAUGUUUCCAAAAAAGGGCCUAAAAUUUUAGACCAUUUUUUCAUAAUUAAACUGUGCUUGGGUCAGAUACUUUUUAUGUAACUGUUUAGGCUAAAUCAUUUUUCAGUGAGGCAGUGAAGAAUUUGUGAUUCCUAUAUUAGUUAAACAUGGUUAACAGUGAUUGAGUGUUUUACUCGUUCCAUGGAUUUAUUGCUAUUUGCCCAUGCUUAGUCAGGUUUGAUUUUGUAAUUGCAAGGACCGUAAAGGGUUUGUAGCUGUGAUCACUAAAUUUCUUUACAUACAUUUUUGAGUUGCAUCCUAACCCUAUGCUCUAGGAUAAAUAAGCUGUGAUAUUUUACCAAAUGAUUGCUUGGAUGGUUGCUCUCAUUUCUUAUUCAAAUUCUUCAAGUUCAAUAUUACAGCUACAUAAAACUUGUGUUUGAUUCUCAUAGAGAUUUUGCUCGUAGGCUUCAGAAAAGGUCUCUCUGAGUAAUUCUCAUCUUGUCAAUCUGAUUAAACAUAAUAUCUUGAUGAGGUCCAGCCCGCUUAUUCUUCAUUUUAUUUAUUUUUUGUUUUGUCAAAAGGAAUUCACUCUGCCAGUGAGAAAGGGGGUUCAUUGUCAGAGGGCACUGCCAUUGAUUAUUCUCAAAAUGCAAAUUCUUGUAAAUAUAAUUAGUACAUCAUAUACCUGCCAGGGUAGCCAAGUUGGUCAAGGUGAAUACUAGGAAGUGUGGUCCUAGUAAAUGGCACAUGGUCCUGGGUUCGAAUCCUGUCACUGAUAAUUCUCCGAAUUUACCUUGUACUGGUUGUUGUGGGGCAGUCAGCACCCUGAGGUUUGGGUCCCCAUGGAGAGUCUUAAGUACAUCAUAUCUUAGUUGAUCUUCCAUUAACCUCCCUCUGUUAUGACCAAUUCCUUAUUCUUAUCCAGUUCUGAGUACACUCGACUGCCUUCUUAUGUUCUCAUCUUCUCUUGCAAAUUUUUUACGGCUCCAUGUCUUCAUAGGUUGCUUGUGCUUUUUUUGAACACAAAAUUGAGGCUAGAGAAACAAAUACUCUUCCUGCACAUCCCACAUCAUCCAAGGAAAAUAGGAUCUGUAGAAUAAUUUUUUUUUGAUAGGCAUCUAUGAACAGUGCCUAGAAAUUGGGCAGAGACCAAUGUCUGAUGUAUCUAAUAGGUGCAAAAAGGAACCAAUGUCUGUAAUUGAUUUUGUUGAUUGGUUGAGUUCUCAUUGAGGAAGAGAGUAGUAUUUUGUAGUUCCCUCUUAUUUUGGUUGUGCCUUUUGGCAAUUGCUAUACAUGUCUUCUGUACUUUGGUGUGCUCUUUUAUGAUGCUUUUUAUAUAUUAUACUCACUUUAUUUACCUAUCAAGAAAAGGAAAAAUUGGAGAAGAUUGUUUUAGAUUAUUAAAAAAUAGAGUUGGAUGAUGAUACUGUGAUGUGGGAUCUUAAAAAAUUCAAGCAUUAUAGAAGUUAUUUCUUUGUUCUAUAAUGCUAUGAUAGGUCAAAGAAAGCAAAAGAAAAGAAAAAAAAGAAAAAGAAAAGAUAGAUCCUUUAGCAAUCACACCAAGGUUCUAGGUAAUCACAUCCUCAAAGAUGCUAAAAACUUUUAUUAGAAAUUUGAUUUUUUUCAACUUUGAAAGACUAUAUAGGUGUAUAUUAUAGUAGACCAUUGUGAUUCUUUUCCCUAAAACUUCUCUAAUUCCUUAUCUUUUCUUGCAAGAAUGAGAAAAGAUAUAGGAAUGAGUAUUCUUUAGAAGCUAAAAGACAAUCUUAAUAUAAAAAGAAGACUAAACGAAUUAGAGACUUGAUAAAAAAGUAAAUCACUAAUUAAAAUAAAAUCUUAAUAAACUAAAGUAGAAACUUAACAAAAGACUCAAGCUUAACCUAAACCAACUAUGGUAAGUCUUAAGAGGAACUUAAAUCAUCAUUGGCAUCCCAAAUUAAGGGCUGGGCAUUGGAACUAGCUUUUCUCUUUCUCUUCUUGUUAGUUGAAAAUUUUCAAAGUAUAUUUAUUUUUUGAUUGGCAAAUCUUCAAGGUGUAUUUUCAAUGUUGGUCCCUUUCUCAGGAGGUCCUUGAAGAAUAUAUUUGAGCUUAGUUUCUUAUCAGUUUCAAACAAAAAACGUGUGUGCAUUCACGAUGUAGGAUUUAUUGGUAGAUCAUGUGAAAGAUAAUUUUGUAAGAGGAAUCAUGUCUUACCAAAGCUUGAGAAAUUGAACUUGAAGAGAAACUUAAAACCCAUCUAUAUAAUUCGAAUUGUUUUUCUUGAUCACUACAACAAAUAUGAUGUAGAUACUUGCAUCAACAUCCCAUCCAUUACAAUUAGUAAAAAUAAACUAAAAGUAUAUUACAAAAAUCACAUUAUACUUUAAUCUGCAUCUCAAUUUAAUCCAUGAACUUUUUGCAAUAACGUCUAUCUCAAAUUAUACCCAAAUGUCAAAUAGGCUCUUUUGUUAAGAUUUUCUGUCAAUAAAUAGAUGGAGAAAUCCUUGUAACAAGAAUAUACAUGUUGGCAUGAGUUUUUAUAUAAUAUAUUUAAAUAUAUCAAAUUUGUUAAUGAGUUUGUUCAUCUAUUUUGAUUGAAAAUCUUAAUAAAAGGACCUAUUUGACAUUUGGUUAUAAUUUGGAAUUGACGUUAUUGCAAAAAGUUCAUGGGUUAAAGUAUAAGGUUUUAGUUGGAGAAAAUGCUUGAGGCAGCAUAAAACUUAAAGAAGAAGAAUUGCGAUUUUUUAUUUUUGAUAGGUAAAGAAAGCUCCUUACUAAGUAUAUGGAUGAAAAAGAAUUUGUCCAUCGAAAAAAAAGAUGAAAAAGAUUUUGAUAGGGGAGGAAAAAUUGUAAUGCAUGAAAUUGUGAUUAAAUUAUUUGAAGAUGCAACCGCUGCUCCAAGCACAUGGGUGAAAAGAAUUUUGACAGUGUAGGGAAAGAUUGUGGUUCAUGUGGUGAUUAAAUUUUGAAUACUGUCACAUGCAAUGAGAAAAAAAACUGAGACUUGGACUUGGUGUUCUGAGAUUAUAGUCUCUAACAGAAAAGCUAUCUGAGAAGUAGGCUUCUUUAUUGGUAACAUGUAUUAUGCUAUGGAAUCCUUCAUCGCCAACAGCUGAUGUGGGGUAAUUUUGAGAACCCAAAACUUGUUUGAUACUGUUAUUUCCACUGAGAGAACAUUCAAGUUUGUGUAUACUUUUAAUCCUUUUUGGUUUCAUUUUGAUGUGGUCUCUUAUGUUGUGGUGCAGAUGUGGCUAUUUUACUCUGAGUUGUUGGGAGUGACCAUGGUGGAUGCAGAAGUUGGAAGUCCCUCAUAUUUAUGGGGUUGAGGGAAAGCAGUGAAGCAUCCAGCAGCUCUUGAAAUGCAAUGCAAUAAAUUGUUUCGGGGUUCUAAAUUGGAACUGUUAGCGUUGGUUUUUAUUUUUUUAGAUAUUUGAACUUCAACUGAACCCAUAAAUACAUGACAAAACAUGCUUUGGUUUUUUCAGGCCACACUCUCUCUCCUUUUGAUGUGUCAAUGGUCUAAAAAUUUCAAUUUUCUUUGUUUCCCUUGGCUUUCGUAGCAGCCAAACAGAGGGAUAACUAAUUCGUCUUUCACGCUACUGUAAACCAAAAAAAUGCAAUUCGUCAUCAAAUUCUUGAUGAUAUGAGAAAAAGAGGAGAUAGAAUUGAAACAACACAAACAGGAACAUCAAAAUCAUGAAAGGUUAAUUUUAAAGGAAGUUCACUAUUAUUGCAUAGAAGUCACCAUAUUAAUAUAUAAAGCCGAAAUUACCCACACCGUAACCCUAACAUUCAGUAUUACAAGCAAUCCUCAAGACCGCAAUAUUCCGUCCAUCAGGUAUCCAAAAAGUGAAAAAAGAAAGAGAAAAAAAACCCUCGCCGAUAUACGGAGAGAGUGAGCGAAUAAAAAACCCUAGAUCGGCAUCUAGAUUUUGUCGAUGUCCUCGUCCUCGAACUCGAUGUAAUCGUCGCCCGCGCCUUCGUCCUCCUCGUCGAGGCCGCCGGCGAUACCCUCGUUGAGCCUGGUGUUCUCCGGAAGCUCACCAUACGCCUUCAGAAGACGAGCCUCGUCGGGCAUGUACUUGAGGAUGACGUCAGCCUUGUCGUCCUGGUAAUCACGAAGACCGACUAGGAUGAUGUCGCCGGCGGCGAUCCAGACCUUCUUGUGCAUCUUGCCUCGGAUGUGGCAGAGGCGCUUGGUGCCAUCGAUGCACAUGGCCUCACAGCGGCCGUUGCCGAGCAUACGGAGCACCUGAGCGUACUCCUGGCCGUCUUCCUUGAAGACAAGCUCCCGUUUCUCAUCGUCGGCCUCGUUCUUUCCUCUCUUCCUGUUCUUACCUCCCUUUCCCUUGUUCUUCGGCAUCCUUCUCUCCCGGAAACCCUAACCCUAGAUUUCUUUCGAUUUCU
rnacentral:lncRNA from 1 species